CCUACGGGAGGCAGCAGUAGGGAAUAUUGCUCAAUGGGGGAAACCCUGAAGCAGCAACGCCGCGUGGAGGAUGAAGGUUUUCGGAUUGUAAACUCCUUUUGUUAGAGAAGAUAAUGACGGUAUCUAACGAAUAAGCACAGGGUAACUCCGUGCCAGCAGCCGCGGUAAUACGGAGGGUGCAAGCGUUACUCGGAAUCAUUGGGCGUAAAGAGCGAGCAGGCGGGAUAGCAAGUCAGAUGUGAAAUACUAGGGCUUAACCAAGGAACUGCAUUUGAAACUGUUAUUCUGGAGUAUGGGAGAGGUAGGUGGAAUUCUUGGUGUAGGGGUAAAAUCCGUAGAGAUCAAGAGGAAUACUCAUUGCGAAGGCGACCUGCUAGAACAUAACUGACGCUGAUGCGCGAAAGCGUGGGGAGCAAACAGGAUUAGAUACCCUAGUAGUC
rnacentral:rRNA from 1 species